GGGCAUGGCCUGGUAAAUGCAGCUCAGAUCCGCUCCCCAGGCAAGUCAAGGAAGUUGCUGCCCAGAAACCAAGUGAGGACAUUUACAAGAACCGGCAGCAGCAGCAGCAGCAGAAACUGGAUUUGCUUUUUCACCAGAGGAUCCAGAUUUCCCUGUGGCCUCGCAAACAAAAAAGAAGGAAGACGGAGCAGCACAGUCAUCCCUUUGUGAAAAAGGCAUUCAGAGACGGGGUUUCACCGUGUUAGCCAGGAUGGUCUCGAUCUGCUGACCUCGCGAUCCGCCCGCCUCGACCUCCCAAAGUGCUGGGAUUACAGGCGUGAGCCACCGCGCCCGGCCUCAGCUGGUUUUUCAAAAGCCAUGGCGUGUAAUUGUCAGAACAGUGAACUUCGGAGAUUCACCGGAGGGGCGAGGCCACAGCUCGACCGCGAGCACCUGAGCAUCCUGCACCGCCUGCGACGGCCGUCAGGGGGCGCGAUGCCGCCUCACAGAACCUCAAGAGGCGCCCGGGUUCCGGCACAGACGCCCUGCGGCUCCAGGGGGCGGAGCCGAGCCGCCUCCUCAGGACCUACGCAGGAGACGCCUCCAUCCCUACAGGGACACCUGAGAGGACCCAGCCUCCUCCUCCUCAGGACCCACUCGGGAGACGCCGCUGGCUCUAUAGGAACACCUGGGGACCGUGGCCAGGGACGACCCAGCCUCCUUCUCCUCAGCUCCUCAGGAACGACUGGGGAAGCUGUGGCUUCAUGGUCCCCGAGGCUGCCCGAGGAAAGGUAUUUCAGGACAGCCAGGAGGGGGCGCACAUCCGCCGAGAAACUGUGAGCAAGACCGUCUGUGCUGAACCAUGGCGCCACCAGAGGGCGCGCGAUCCCGCCCCAACCAACUUCCCGCUGAGGUGCCAGAAGCAUCGAGGAGCUUCAACUUCCUCAGGGCAGCACGAGGGUCAUGUUAAUUUGGUGUUCUUCAUUGGUGGAGUCUUGCUCUGUCAUCCAGGCUUGCAGUGUCGUGAUCUUGGCUCACUGCAAUGUCUGCCUCCUGGGUUCAGGUGAUUCUCCUGCCUCAGCCUCCUGAGUAGAUGGGACUACAGGCGCCCGCCACCAUGCCCUGCUGUUUUGUAUUUUUGAGAAAUGGAAUCAUCGUAUCGCUGAUCUACGUAAACAAACUGAAGAAUUGUCUGAAAGAAAAUAUGACAUGAACUUAUGAAUUCAACAGGUGAAGGUUUACAACUUGAUAAAUCAGCUUUGUGAGCUCGAGCUGUAAAAGCCAAAGGUCCGGUGAUGAUCCCAUACCCUUUUUUCCAGUCUCAUGUUGAAGAUUUUUAUGUAGAAGGCCUUCCCAAAGGAAUUUUUUUUUUUUUUUUGAGAUGGAGUUUUCACUCUUAUCGCCCAGGCUGGGGUGCAAUGGCGCAACCUUGCUGGUCACUGCAACCUCUGCCUCCUGGGUUCAAGAAAUUCUCCUGCCUUAGCCUCCCAAGUCGCUGGGAUUACAGGUGCCCACCACCACACCAGGCUAAUUUUUGUAUUUUUAGUGGAGAUGGGGUUUCACCAUGUUGGCCGGGCCAGUCUCGAACUCCUGACGUCAAGUGAUCUUCCCGCCUCGACUCCUGACAUCAAGUGAUCUUCCCGCCUCGGCCUCCCAGAGUGCUGAGAUUACAGACGUGAACCCAUGCCUGGCCAGGAAUUUUGUUUUUAGGAAGGCUUUCUACUAAUGGAAUUCCUGGCCUUGAGAGGAUGUUACUUUCGAAGGAAAGGAUUUUUUUGUUAUUAAAAGAGCCACCUAAGCUGAAGAUUCCCUUGAGAACAAGUACUGUCCUGCGGUUUCAUGGCCUUUCUUCCAUUUGUGGUUCUUGCGAAGUGGAAUUUAAAUGACAUCUUAUCAAGAUGGAUAAACCCUAGUUUCCCAGUGCUGGAAUAUAGAAAAUGGAUGGACAAGUAAAUCCCACUCAGCACCCAUAGUCCAGGCAUGGGGACCUCAACACACCUGAGCCCCAGACAUCACCUUUCAUUCUGGACCUACCAUGAAAGACUUCUGAAUCCAGGAAGAGAAACUGACUGGGCAACAUGUUAUUCAGAUGGGGUCUUCUUAUGUUGCCCAGGUUGGUCUCAAAUUCCUAGGCUCAAGUGAUUCCGCCCACCUCUGCCUCCCAAAGUGCUGGGAUUACGGGCAUGAGCCAGCGCAUCUGGCCACCUUAUUUUCUAUUACUGCCUCAAUGUAAUGGCUCCAUCUCAGGAACAGCCAAUGAAAGAGAUGCACAGGACAAGAAACAGGACCUUGCCCUGUCACUCAGGAUGGAGUUCAGUGGUCCUAUCAUGGCUCAUUAUAGCCUCAAACUCCCAGGCUCAAGCAAUCCUACCAUGUCAGCCUUCCCAGUAGCUGGGACUACAGGUAAGCAUCGUGACACUCAGUGAAUUUUGUUUUUAUUUUGUUGUAGAGAUGGGACCUCAGUAUGUUGCCACGGCUGACCUUGAACUCCUGCACUCAAGGGAUUUUCCUGCCCUGGCCUCCCAAAGUAUUGGUAUUACAGGCAUGAGCCAUUGUGCCCACCGUCUCUGGUUCUUAACCUUCUGCCUCCCUCUUCCAGUUUUAAAGAAUGCUUGUAAUUACAUGGGCUCUCCUAGAUACUCCAGGAUAAUCUUGUUUUAAGGUCAGCUGAUGAGCAACAUUAAUUUUAUCUGCACUCUUAAUUCCCCCUUCCUAUGUAAUUGUGCUAUGUAACAUAGGACAUGAGCAAUUGGUGGUGGUGGGGGUUAUCACUUUGGCCACCACAGUAACUAUUUUAUGCCAGGUACUCAGCUAAGCACUGGUGAAUUAAGCAUGAAUAACACACACUCCCUAAUCUCCAUCCAUUCAUGGGAGGAGCACUUCACCUGCCAUGCUCCUGAGAAUCUCGGGAGUCAAAGAAGUCUUCUAUGAGGAGGUGAUGCCAAAGCGGACAGGUGACAGAGGAGUCGAAGCUAGCUAGGAAGAGAGUAGAGGUUUAAGGGGAAGCAUAUUAUAAGCAGAGGAUAUUACCCACUUCAGAGACUCCCAGAGGAGAAAGAGUGUGCGUUCAAGGGGCAGAUGAGGCUCAGUUGGACUCCAUAGCAGAUGAAAUGGAGAGGGGCAAGCAGUGAGGCUGCCUUGCAAGGCAGGGCAGAGCAGGGGCUGUUAAGGAGUUUGGACUUAAUCCCUGAGGCAAGGAGAAGUGAUGUAAAUGGGGGAGUAACAUGAUGAGAUUCAUGGAUUAGAGACAUGGCUCAGGCUGCUAUAGAGAAGGCACCAGGGAGAGCAGAUGGCUCAAUGGGUGUGCAGGAGACCUCUCCCUGAGUUUAGGGAGAGGUUUUUAAAACAGAAGAAGUUUGAGUAAUUUAAAUGAUGAUGGGAAGGAGCUAAAAGUGGGGGAUAGGUUAAAGAUACAGGAAAGUGGGAGGAAGAACCGACAAGUGAGGUUCCAGAGAGGGCAGGAGAAGAGGAGAUUCCCUUAGGGGGAUUAACACUUUCUUUUCUUUUUUCUU